rnacentral:rRNA from 1 species
CGUAGGUGGCGAGCGUUGUCCGGAUUUACUGGGCGUAAAGAGCGCGCAGGCGGCUGGGCAAGUCCGAUGUGAAAGCUUCCGGCUUAAUUGGAAAAUUGCAUUGGAAACUGCUCGGCUUGAAGGUGGGAGAGGGUAGCGGAAUUCCCGGUGUAGUGGUGAAAUGCGUAGAUAUCGGGAGGAACACCAGUGGCGAAGGCGGCUGCCUGGCCCAUUCUUGACGCUGAGGCGCGAAAGCUAGGGGAGCAAACGGGAUUAGAUACCCCGGUAGUCCUAGCCGUAAACGAUGAACACUAGGCGUAGUCUGUACCGACCCCGGCUGUGCCGUAGCCAACGCAUUAAGUGUUCCGCCUGGGGAGUACGGCCGCAAGGCUA